rnacentral:rRNA from 1 species
AUUGCCUCAGUAACGGCGAGUGAAGCGGCAACAGCUCAAAUUUGAAAUCUGGCCCUUUCAGGGUCCGAGUUGUAAUUUGCAGAGGGUGCUUUGGCGUUGGCCGUGGUCUAAGUUCCUUGGAACAGGACGUCACAGAGGGUGAGAAUCCCGUACGUGGCCGCCGGUCUUCGCCGUGUAAAGCCCCUUCGACGAGUCGAGUUGUUUGGGAAUGCAGCUCUAAAUGGGAGAUACAUUUCUUCUAAAGCUAAAUAUUGGCCAGAGACCGAUAGCGCACAAGUAGAGUGAUCGAAAGAUGAAAAGCACUUUGGAAAGAGAGUCAAAAAGCACGUGAAAUUGUUGAAAGGGAAGCGCUUGCAGCCAGACGUGCCCGCAGUUGCUCACCCAGGCUCUUGCCUGGGGCACUCUUCUGCGGGCAGGCCAGCAUCAGUUCGGGCGGUUGGAUAAAGGUCUCUAUCACGUACCACCCUUCGGGGUGUCCUUAUAGGGGAGACGCAACACGGCCAGCCUGAACUGAGGACCGCGCAUCAGCUAGGAUGCUGGCGUAAUGGCUGUAAGCGGCCCGUCUUGAAACACGGACCAAGGAGUCUAACAUCUAUGCGAGUGUUUGGGUGUAAAGCCCGGGCGCGCAAUGAAAGUGAACGGAGGUGGGAACCCUUUGGGUGCACCAUCGACCGAUCCUGAAGUCUUCGGAUGGAUUUGAGUAAGAGCAUAGCUGUUGGGACCCGAAAGAUGGUGAACUAUGCCUGAAUAGGGUGAAGCCAGGGGAAACCCUGGUGGAGGCUCGCAGCGGUUCUGACGUGCAAAUCGAUCGUCAAAUUUGGGCAUAGGGGCG